AAAAAGGUCUUUCUCAAGACCAAUAAAACAAAUAGUAUGACGAAC
rfam:Acyrthosiphon pisum strain LSR1 Contig34893, whole genome shotgun sequence.